rnacentral:ncRNA from 1 species
AAUAAACCGUUGAAAAAGAGGAGUAAGCUAUCCCGCAAUAUUUCAGAGAGUCGCCGCCGGUGUGAGUGCGAUAUAGAGCAGACAGCUGAAUGGACUUUUGAGGGCGGUCCUGAACCAUUUGGUAAGUAGGGAUCGACGGAGACCACAACCGUUAUCUGGUGGCAUAUAUGUUAGUAUAUGAAAAGGGGACUUCUAAGGAAGUCAAUUUGAGUGGCACCGCGGAUUGUUAAUUCGUCUCAAGU